UUUCCGUAGGUGAACCAGCGGAAGGAUCAUUAUUGGAUUUUGAAACUUCAGGCUGCUGCUGGCUCUCCUCGGAGGGCAUGUGCACGCUUGUUGUCCAUUAUUUCUCCCACUGUGCACAAAUUGUAGACCUUUCAGUAGGCCUAUGCUGUUUUUCACAAUCUCUGAAUGUAAUAGAAUGGUUUUGAAUCUUGGGAAAUACAAUACAACUUUCAGCAACGGAUCUCUUGGCUCUC
rnacentral:misc_RNA from 1 species